CAUCAGAUAACUAAACUAAAUAAGUAUUGGUCUCUUAAACCACUAAUAGUAAUUAUUACUUCUAAUG
rnacentral:tRNA from 1 species